rnacentral:rRNA from 1 species
GCGACGCCGCGUGCGGGAUGAAGGCCUUCGGGUUGUAAACCGCUCUCAGUAGGGAAGAAGCGAAAGUGACGGUACCUACAAAAGAAGCACCGGCUAACUAUGUGCCAGCAGCCGCGGUAAUACAUAGGGUGCAAGCGUUGUCCGGAAUUAUUGGGCGUAAAGAGCUCGUAGGUUGUUUGUUACGUCGGAUGUGAAAACCUGAGGCUCAACCUCAGGCCUGCAUUCGAUACGGGCAAACUAGAGUUUGGUAGGGGAGACUGGAAUUCCUGGUGUAGCGGUGGAAUGCGCAGAUAUCAGGAGGAACACCAAUGGCGAAGGCAGGUCUCUGGGCCAAUACUGACACUGAGGAGCGAAAGUCUGGGGAGCGAACAGGAUUAGAUACCCUGGUAGUCCAGACCGUAAACGGUGGGCACUAGUUGUGGGGACCUUCCACGGUUUCUGCGACGCAGCUAACGCAUUAAGUGCCCCGCCUGGGGAGUACGAUCGCAAGAUUAAAACUCAAAGGAAUUGACGGGGCCCCGCACAAGCAGCGGAGCAUGCGGCUUAAUUCGACGCAACGCGAAGAAACUUAC